UGAGCAGCUGACCCCUCGGGGAGGGACAGACUUUCCCAGCCACCUUCCAGGACCAGGAAUCUGCCUGGGCCUGGACCUGAGCCCCAGUUGGUGGGACACUGGGCGCUUUUGCCGCCCCACAUGGGAGCCGCUGGCCCGGCCCACUGCCCCUUCCUCCCUGGCCGCCCUGCGAGACACACCCUGCCACACAGGGCGUCCCUCAGCCCCGCUGGGCACACUGACCACCCCCUCCCUGUCCAGAGCUGGACCUGGACGAGACCUGUGCUGAGGCCCAGGACGGGGAGCUGGACGGACUCUGGACGACCAUCACCAUCUUCAUCACCCUCUUCCUGCUCAGCGUGUGCUACAGCGCCACCGUCACACUCUUCAAGGUGAAGUGGAUCUUCUCCUCGGUGGUGGAGCUCAAGCAGACAAUCGCCCCUGACUACAGGAACAUGAUUAUGCAGGGCUCCUAGGACCGCCUCCUGCAUGGACCAGGGCUUCCCAGAGCCCUGUGGGAUGCUGCCCAUCGAGUCAAGCAGCCCCACAGCCCGGCCACACCUGUCCCUCGUCCUCCCUGCCCCCUGAACCUGCGGCCUCUUGAAGCUUCGCUCUGGAACGUUCUGCCCGUGGAGGAGCACAUGAACAGCAGGCUCUACCACGGCCCCAGCACCAUGGACAGGACAACCCUCCUCAGCACCCAGCAGGACCCCUGUGGUGGCAGCCGAGGCCCGUCCCUCCCUGGGUCACCUCUGUCCUCGGGGCUGCAGGGAGUCACCUAUGGGGUGGACGUCCUAAGUGCAGAUGACAAGCCUGGAGACAACGUCACCCGUGCCAGCCGGACAUGGGAGUUUUCUGAGAGCAGGCCUCACGUCAGAGCCUUGCGUGGGAUGUCCACCACCAGGACGGGAGGCACGCCUCCCGGGGCCCGGACCGGUUCAGAGGCGCUGCCUGGGUCAGGCUGCGGCCUGGGCCCCAACUGUGCCCCGCUAGGCUCCAUCCUACCCUGACACCCGGCCCGUCUCGAGUCUGAAAUGGGGCGUCCCGUCGGAUGGGGCUCGGUGCGCUGCCCUCCUCUCGCCCCGCGGGCUUGCCAUGGCCGUGAGGCAGCAGUCAGCUGACUCCGGCCACCCCGCCUCUGGGGACAGCCCACUGCCCCUCCCCCAGCUCCAGGCUCCACUCGUGACACACACAGGAAAGGGCCCCGGGCGCACGGCCGCUGUGGGGCUCGGGCCGGGCCCUUCCGCCAGGUGGAAGGGCCGAGGUCCGGUGAGGAGGACAGGCAUCUGCCAGGUGGGGGCGGCUCCAGGACGGGGCCUGGGAGCAGGUGCUCCUCCCGCAGCCAUCACGGCUCCAUCCAAGGCAGCUCUUUGGGAUGCGGCACACACACAGGUCACACGGGGUUUGGACCCAGGAGGCCUGUUUCUCCCUCCCUAAGCUUCAUACCUUGGGACCCACUUUCUCCUCGGAAUGCACUAGCCGGCCCCUCCAGCUCCUGCUGGAACAAUGGUGAUUUAGGGACAAGGUGCACUGGCCCCUGCUCCUAGGGGAAGGCUUCUUGUUUCUUGUCAUGAACUGUGAUGGUCACUGUAAAGGUUUCCUUUGUCCAUCUGAGGAUAGUCUCUCUCAUCUAAAGAUGGCUGAGACCCUCAUGGGAAAUGCUGUUCAAUGUUAGGAAGUUUAUUGUCUUCAUCUGCUGGUCUGAGCCUACACGUGUGAUGGACUGUCCUCAACUUUUUCUAUGGUUGGGUUGCUGUGUUUGCACUUCUGGGAAUCACACUGGGGGCCUAUGGUGCUAGGCAGACAUCAUCCAACUAAGCUGGAUUCCCAGACUUUUGGAUGCUAAACCAGCCUUAGUGAAGGAGUUCAGUUCUACAAAUAGUAGAGCUAGCAGGGUACUCGUAGCCUGGUAACGUAUUUGGAAAGACAGACUGAUUCUGAGAAGCUGGUUCCCACGGUUGCAGUGGCAACAAGGUCACCAAGCUGGCCAGCUUGACCCGCGGACGGCACACCACGCCCACAGAAGGAAAAUGAGGCCCAAGGCCCAAUUACCUUUGCAUAUUGUUUGAUUCAACUUGUCAGUGUCUUCUGGACAUGAAGCUUUACAGAGUCAACACUGGCAGCAGCUAAUCUUUGAAAAGGAGUCUAGAAGUUCUCGUUCUCAUCUGUGCACCCCUCCUUCCUUUCUGCCUGUGGCGAUGGACAGGACUUGCACAGACCUAGAGUUCUCCUGGUGGCUUCCUCCACCUGCACCUGCAGGCCGCACCUGGCCCCCAGACACCGUUUGGCCCCGCCAGUCUCCACGUCUCCUUUGGUCACACAGAUCAUCCUGUUAUUGGCCUUUUCUAGCACGCACACGUGAGAGAAAACCGAGUGCUGGUCUUUCUCAGUCUGGCUUAUUUCUCCUAACGAGUCGCACUCCAGGGGCCGCCAUUUUCAGCAGAAGACACAAUGGCACCCACCGGUGAUGGCCACGCCUCACGCCACUGCACGCACAUGCCUGCCUCCUCGCCCGUCCUCAGCGGGCAGCUGGUCGGGGCUGCGUCUGACAGGCCCUGGCCGCCUUCUGCGGGUGUCCAGCCUCCCCGCUCACCCCGUGUGAGUGGGCGGCCAGUGGUGUCUGGGCCUGGGAGGACGGCCAUCCUCCAGUGACGGUGGCUGCAAUCCUGGGAGUGCUGCCACUAGAACACUCCUGGGCAGGCCUCUCCACACCGCCUGACGUGGAUUUGGGGCGACACCGCCUGUCGUACUAGGGAGCUGUGAGAGGAAUUCUAGCCUUCACUGUGGGGAAAGGUCAUACUGAUUUCUGCAAAAGCUGAGCUGGUGUCCAUUGCCUCUGGCAGUGAAUAAAGGUGCCAUUUCCUCACCGCCUA